AAUCUCUACGGUGGUCACACAUUAGAAUUUUUGAAUAAAAUAAGUAGAAGAUGAACCGACAUUAGUCAGGGCAUAACAGAAAACGUGGCUAUGAAGCAGCAAAAUAACUGGGUUAAGAUUGACGUGUCUCCUUCAAGUUUAAGUAAAGUUUUGUGGUGGUGCGUGCGGGUUCACCUUUCUUUGCUUUGCUGCAUGCAUUUACCUACCUACCUUCUUCGCUUCGCAUGUGCUCAACCUCAAGCGAUUACCAUUUAAGCAUUUUCCUCUAUCUCCCUAAAAUAUUCCCCACCACCUUUUACUAUUCGAAUUCGAAUCAAAUAUAAUCAGAUUCUAUUCUUCCCUCCCUGCAUUUGCGAAUCAACACUUUCCCCUGUCUCAACUCUCUAUUAAUAAAUAAUAAAUAAUAUAAAAUAUUAUUAUUUAUUUCUUCGGUAAAUCUAGAUAGAUAUCUAAAUAUAACAGAUCGUUUGAGGAGGAGUAGACCCAAGUAAAGUAAACUUUGCUUUUAUUCUCCGAUGGCGAUUUCCGACGACCCUCACGGCGCCGUCCGGAACCCAAAGGUUCUCAACGACUCCUCUGUUUUACGUCGCAGGCCGAGCGCAGCCUCCGUCAGCGGCUUCUUCGAAUCGUCUGCCACGGUGGAAAGCGAGAGUUCCGGUGAAGAGUCGGUGAAGGAUUCUAGUUCCGAUGACUCUAUCAGCAGUGACCAAAACAUCGCUGCUGCCAAUUCUGAUCAAAAUCGAGGGCCUGAUAUUUCUUCGAUCAAAUUCACUUACCGGCCUUCUGUUCCCGCUCAUCGUAGAAUCAAGGAAAGUCCACUCAGCUCCGAUAACAUUUUCCGUCAGUUGCAGAGUCAUGCUGGCCUCUUCAACCUCUGUAUAGUAGUCCUUGUUGCAGUGAACAGCAGACUUAUCAUUGAGAAUUUAAUGAAGUACGGUUGGUUGAUUAAGACUGGCUUUUGGUUUAGUUCAAAAUCAUUGAGAGAUUGGCCCCUCUUCAUGUGUUGUCUUAGUCUUGCAAUAUUUCCUUUGGCGGCCUUUAUAGUGGAAAAGUUGGCACAACGAAAGUGUAUUUAUGAACAUAUUGUUGUUCUACUUCAUAUAAUCAUUGCAACAACUGCAGUUCUCUAUCCUAUUUUAGUAAUCCUCAGGUGUGAUUCUGCUUUUGUGUCAGGCGUCACAUUGAUGCUACUUGCUUGCAUUGUAUGGUUAAAACUGGUUUCUUAUGCACAUACGAACUAUGAUUUGAGAGCACUUACAAAUUCAAUUGAAAAGGGAGAAGCACUUCCCAAUACUCACAUGGAAUAUGCAUACGAAGUAAGCUUCAAAAGCCUGGCUUACUUUAUGGUUGCUCCUACAUUAUGUUACCAGCCAAGAUAUCCUCGCACCCCUUCCAUUCGAAAGGGUUGGGUGUUACGUCAAUUUGUCAAGCUGAUAAUAUUUACCGGAGUUAUGGGAUUUAUAAUAGAGCAAUAUAUUAAUCCUAUUGUAAAAAACUCCCAGCAUCCUUUUAAGGGUAACAUUCUAUAUGCCAUUGAAAGAGUUCUGAAGCUGUCUGUUCCAAAUCUAUAUGUGUGGCUCUGCAUGUUCUACUGCUUCUUCCACCUUUGGUUGAAUAUAUUGGCAGAGCUUCUUCGAUUUGGUGAUCGUGAAUUUUACAAGGAUUGGUGGAAUGCAAGAACUGUUGAAGAGUAUUGGAGGAUGUGGAAUAUGGUCUAUGAGGCUAUGUUACAGAGAGCAAAAGGAGUAGUCACAGGGCUUGUCUCCAUUGUUACAUCUGUGGUUUUUAUGAUUCUAAAUCACUGGUGUUCAAAUGGAUGUCUCCAUUGUUACAUCUGUUAAUAAAUGAUUCUAAGUCACUGGUGUACAUCUGAGCGGUUUCUUUCACGUUGCAGCCUGUUCACAAAUGGAUGAUUCGUCACCUAUACUUUCCAUGUUUGAGGACUGGUAUACCGAAGGGUGCUGCUGUUUUAAUUGCCUUCAUGGUUUCUGCUUUGUUCCAUGAGCUGUGCAUUGCGGUUCCUUGCCACAUAUUCAAGUUGUGGGCGUUUAGUGGAAUUAUGUUUCAGGUUCCUUUGGUCUUGAUAACUAAUUAUCUGCAAAAUAAAUUCAGCAACUCAAUGGUUGGAAAUAUGUUUUUUUGGUUCACAUUCUGUAUUCUUGGUCAACCUAUGUGUGUACUACUAUACUAUCACGACUUGAUGAACAGAAAUAGUAAACUUGAUUAAAGUAGCAUUACAUCAUUAGUAGUGCUAUUUAUCUAGAUUUAUAUACUUUGUUAACUCAACUCCUCUGGCAGUUCUAUCAAUAUGUAAAUUUUGAAUCAAUGCCUGGCAUUGAUAACUGCCAAAGAACAGUAGAACUAGUUUUUGGUAGAUGUUAUUAGAAGGAUAGAUCAUAAAUGUAAAUGGUUUGUGUACAAAAUAUUUAUUCCUUCCUAGUUUUGAAGCUCCCACGGAUGAUGUUUCUUAACAUGUGAAAUAUUCAAUGUGAUUUUUUUUCUUCUUC